rnacentral:rRNA from 1 species
UUAUCCUACGGGGGGCAGCAGUGGGGAAUAUUGGGCAAUGGGCGCAAGCCUGACCCAGCAACGCCGCGUGAAGGAAGAAGGUUUUCGGGUUGUAAACUUCUUUUAUGAGGGACGAAACAAAUGACGGUACCUCAUGAAUAAGCCACGGCUAACUACGUGCCAGCAGCCGCGGUAAUACGUAGGUGGCAAGCGUUAUCCGGAUUUACUGGGUGUAAAGGGCGUGUAGGCGGGACUGCAAGUCAGAUGUGAAAAUUAUGGGAUCAACCCAUAACCUGCAUUUGAAACUGUAGUUAUUGAGUGAUGUG